rnacentral:rRNA from 1 species
CCUACGGGAGGCUGCAGUGGGGAAUAUUGGACAAUGGGCGAAAGCCUGAUCCAGCCAUGCCGCGUGUGUGAAGAAGGCCUUCGGGUUGUAAAGCACUUUCAGUGGGGAAGAAAGCCUUGGGGCUAAUACCCUCGAGGAAGGACAUCACCCACAGAAGAAGCACCGGCUAACUCCGUGCCAGCAGCCGCGGUAAUACGGAGGGUGCGAGCGUUAAUCGGAAUUACUGGGCGUAAAGCGCGCGUAGGCGGUCUGAUAAGCCGGUUGUGAAAGCCCCGGGCUCAACCUGGGAACGGCAUCCGGAACUGUCAGGCUAGAGUGCAGGAGAGGAAGGUAGAAUUCCCGGUGUAGCGGUGAAAUGCGUAGAGAUCGGGAGGAAUACCAGUGGCGAAGGCGGCCUUCUGGACUGACACUGACGCUGAGGUGCGAAAGCGUGGGUAGCAAACAGGAUUAGAAACCCCUGUAGUC